UUCUCCUUCCCCUCACUCUAUCGUUCCCCUCACUCUCUCCACUCCCUCUCCACUCCCGCAAAUCCCUAAUCUCGGCCGAGUCACCCACUCCACUCCCUCCGCUGUCGCCCCCACAGUCGCCAGAACCAGCGAACUCGUCUCCCACCGCCUCCCCCUCUCGUCCCCUCCCCUCUACUCAUCCGACGGCGCUGACCGCGCAGAUCGAGCGACCAGGCGGCGGCCACAUGCGCACACAACCGGCGACCAACAUCACGCAAAGGUCACCACCGCCGUCGCCGAAGGGCGGUCUUCUUCCACCUCGACGGACGAGCUUGCGCGCCAGGAGAGGAGCGGGGAUCCUGCGCUUCUUCCUCGCUCAGCGCCCCUGUCGCCACGCCAUGGAUGAACCUCCCUCUGCUCCCACCAAUGCCAUGUACCGAGCUCGCUCUCCUCCUCGAGAUAUUAUCCUCCAAGCUAUAUGAUAUGCACAACACAUGAUUUAUGGAACGAAAAGAGAUCAUGUCAUCCAGAUAAUUAGAUUUCACCGCAUGAUGUUCUUUACCCCAGCCGAGCAUAGUGUGCUGCCGCGCCGUCGAUUCCACGAAGUGGGCAGCCCGAGCCGAUUCCCCAAUGUGUCAACGACUACGUCCGCUGCGUGAUCCUGUGGGACAUGACCAAUCCACUGCCUCAUCAACACAUCGAGGGUGAAUUGAGUUCAGAUCUUUGAGCAAAGGAUUGCGAUUUUGUAGCUGCAUUGGGGCUAUUCUUUAUCAUUUGAACUCAUUGGUGCAUCACAACUUUCGCGAGCACUGGCUGACAAAUCGCUCGAGCAGGGAGUACUCCUCGGAAUAGUGAGAGCUAAGAAACAAGGGCUCCAUCGAUGCAUUAGUUCCUGGAGGAUCAGUUCCUGGAGCAUUUGUAAUCUCUACUCCUAGGAAUAGGGAUAGCUAAGAAACAAGGGCUCAACCAUCAGUUGGUGGAUCAUCAGUUCCUGGAGCAUUUGUAAUAUGUGCAUGCAUUGGUAAUGGAUUUGUUUGUAAUCAGUGUAAUCUGUGCAUACAUUCACGUUCUUGUGUAUUCACCUGGAGCAUUUGUAAUCUGUGCAUACAUUCA